UACGGAGGAUCCAAGCGUUAUCCGGAUUUAUUGGGUUUAAAGGGUGCGUAGGUGGUUUUUUAAGUCAGGGGUGAAAGACGGCAGCUUAACUGUCGCAGUGCCUUUGAUACUGAAGAACUUGAAUACACUACAGGUAGGCGGAAUGUGACAAGUAGCGGUGAAAUGCUUAGAUAUGACACAGAACACCGAUUGCGAAGGCAGCUCACAAAACUGUAACUGACGCUGAGGCACGAAAGCGUGGGGAUCAAACAGG
rnacentral:rRNA from 1 species